AACGAACGCUGGCGGCAUGCCUAACACAUGCAAGUCGAACGAGACCUUCGGGUCUAGUGGCGCACGGGUGCGUAACGCGUGGGAACCUGCCCUUAGGUUCGGAAUAACUCCCCGAAAGGGGUGCUAAUACCGGCUAAUGUCUUCGGACCAAAGAUCUAUCGCCUUUGGAUGGGCCCGCGUUGGAUUAGCUAGUUGGUAGGGUAAAAGCCUACCAAGGCGAUGAUUCACAGCUGGUCUGAGAGGAUGAUCAGCCACACUGGGACUGAGACACGGCCCAGACUCCGACGGGAGGCAGCAGUGGGGAAUAUUGGACAAUGGACGAAAGCCUGAUCCAGCAAUGCCGCGUGAGUGAUGAAGGCCUUAGGGUUGUAAAGCUCUUUUACCCGGGAGGAUAAUGACGGUACCGGGAGAAUAAGCUCCGGCUAACUCCGUG
rnacentral:rRNA from 1 species